CCCUUCUCAACAACAAGUUCUGUGUCGCAACGAUCCCGUCCUCCCAUCGUUCCUUCGGGGGCAUGGGAUGUGUUCGGUCGAUUGUUGCGAACGUCUCGACUAUUCCUGUGGAGAUAUUAUCGCACUUCCAUUAAUGUCCAACCCAGUCGACAGAACUGAAAUCGACCCGAGACCCUUUCGCGCCCUCCGGGCAAGGUCGGCCUUGAGCUCGCCUCCCUGAGGUUGAACUCGGCCGGCUGAAAGCGGUGUGUAGGGAGACGUCUUAUUCCCAAGCUUGGUGUUGAUCCUCGUCGAGGAAUGAUCACCGGGCAAAACCAAGGCUAUUGUCUACAUAC
rnacentral:sRNA from 1 species